rnacentral:lncRNA from 1 species
UAUAACGGAAUUUGAUGAGACUGUCAACAAAGUUAGAGGGUUAGCGCUAUAAAACCAGGUUUAAUUCACCAUUUUCUACAUUUGAAAAUGCCUUUUCUAAGUCAGGAAUAUGACAAUUCUUGCCUAUUCGUUUUUGAUGCGUAUUGUUAUAUGAUUUUGCCAUGUGAUUAUGGACUUUCCGAAUUGAUUUUCCUCUAAGUUCAGUUUUUUUUGUGAUUUUACUUUUUUCAUAUGCUUUUGUUGCUUUGUUCGUCGAUCUUAUCAGUUACGCCCUUUCAUAUUUGAAAUUUACAGUUUAUUUUAUAGUGUGUUGUUACAUCAAUGUUCGGGAUAUAUAGAAAGGAUUAAGUGCAUACAAACAUUUUCAAUCUCGCUGUAUUCUGUAUGUAUCUUCCCGAGUCUGAAGCGUGUAACUCAAUGGUUAUCGUUGUUUGUUUUUUGCCAUAUUUGUUUUCCACUUAUUGCUAAAAAAUAUAUCAGACCGUUGUUUUUCUCAUCAAAUUGUUAGAAAUUUCAUUUUGCCCGGUAUACGGAAUAGAGUUUACUUAAAAUGAUUUGUGAAUUUUUUAAAGUGACCUAUAGUUGUUGUCUCAUUGGUGUCACAUAUCGUCUACUUAUCUAAAUAAAAACACUCGUCUUAAUAAAUUAGUCUUUGUCAAUUAAGACGCAAGUAUCGUUUCUGUUUUCUUUACACCCAGUUAAACCUAUCAUCACUUGAAAGAAACC